CAGGAAAGGAGCAAUAUGGACCCAGAUCUCCUGCCUGCUCGCACAGGGUUGCGCUGCUAUCUGAUAGGUGGAGGCACAUCCCAUGGGACAACACACGGCUCUAUGACCCCGCAUCCAUCGCAGGGCAAGGACAGGCACCUACAUGCAGGGAAGAUUUCUGAAGUCUCUGCUUAACAGCCACUAAUGCAGCAAGUGCCAGCACUGGGAGGCUGAAGAUUGAAAAUAUCAGACCAUGAAAAAAGCAAGAUUCCCAACACAAGCAGUAAUUAGCAGGCACAGAAUUGUUCUUAACCUUCUGAACUGGAAAAUACAUUUCAGAAGAAUCCACUGCUCUUCUGUCAAAGCAAAACCAACAAGAAUAAUCUCUUUUAAAUUACAAGCAUUAAAUGACAGUGGGGAACAGUUAUCAUUUUGUUGCUCUCUAUGCAUAUGUGCUUGCGUAUAUGCUUUUGCGGUCGUGUGAAGCCCGUGGGUCUCCAGCAGCCUGGAGUUUAAAAACGCUUUUGAAGGAGUGGUUAGGGCAAGCAGAAGAGCGGGGAUUUGAUCUGGCAAGCUGAAGUAAUGGAUGUUGAUUUCUGCUCAUUAAGAACCAUGUCACAGAACUGCAGCCUAAACAACAUGCAUCCCUCCGACCGCCUGGCAUUUCCUCAUGCUUCAAAACUGUAUUCCUCUUCUUCCUGGGAACACUAAUGAAGAAGGAAGUCAUUUGGAAAAAGCCACACUAACUCUGCAUAUAUUAUUUUUUCUGUGAUUGUGCCCAUCAAAUUGGAUUUUAUUAGGAUUUCAACACUCUUAAAUUCACAGCUGCACAUGCGUGGCUUUCCAUAACAGAAAUCAAUUAGAUAUUGAUGAAAGCUAAAGAAUCUUAGCAGAAUAAUAACAAACAGCAAAUACAAAGCAUGUCAAUUAAUCCCAGAGGUGAUCUGGUUUCUCCCCUACUGCCUGUGGGAAAUGAGAAAAUUUCAUGGCACCGACAAAAUGACAUCCAUGGCUCUUUCUUUGGAAGGCUGCCGAAGCAUCCUUUCCACCCCUGGAGGGUUUGAGGCAUGCUGAUGCGUUCAGCUGGCCAGACAGAGAGCAUGAACCUCUAACCCCACACACAUACCUCCUUGCUUGCUGAGCUACCUCCCCAGGUGGUCUGAAUUUCCCAGUAGAUGUUCUCCAGCACUCUGGCAGAACUGGGCUCUCCACUGUCAGCCACAGGGCUCACUGUUGACUGUGAAAAGAUGUUGUGAAAUGUCAGAAUGUACCAACAAGGUUAGACAAGUGAAUAUUACAGGCUAUUUCAUGCUAACAAUAUAUCAAUGCAGAAAAAAAAUACUUCAGUAGCUUUUGUUAAGAGAAAGAUCUCACAGGCUGAAUGUUGAGAUGUGGGAGUCACUUCCCUCGGUUCCUACUUUCUGUACGCGGUCAUAAAUUGCAGUUAAAUGUUAUUCUCCUUUUGACCCAUAAACUGUUAUCCAUCAGAUGGAAAUACUGAAAACUCCCUAACUUUCAGGUGGGCAGAUAACCUGUUACAAAAAACUGCACAAAAGAACGGCUCUGGAGUUUUGAAUCAUGAUUAUGACUAACAACAUAUUUUAGGAACUCAGUGCACAAACAGCCUCACUCUAAUCUCUCAGCAGGUUCACAGCCAGGCAGCUCUCUCAUUUGAUAACCAGAGAGACCGGAAUCAGGCCCAAGACAGUCAUUUUUAUACCACUUGGUAUCCUAG
ensembl:lncRNA